GCCUGGGUGGCUGAGUCGGUUAAGUGUCUGACUUUGACUCAGGUGGCUUUGCUCUCAUGGUUCAUGAGUUCAAGCCCCACACUGGGCU
rnacentral:tRNA from 1 species